rnacentral:rRNA from 1 species
AACGAACGCUGGCGGCAUGCCUAACACAUGCAAGUCGAACGAUUGCCUUCGGGUGAUAGUGGCGCACGGGUGCGUAACGCGUGGGAAUCUGCCCUUAGGUUCGGAAUAACAGCUGGAAACGGCUGCUAAUACCGGAUGAUAUCGCGAGAUCAAAGAUUUAUCGCCUGAGGAUGAGCCCGCGUUGGAUUAGGUAGUUGGUGGGGUAAAGGCCUACCAAGCCGACGAUCCAUAGCUGGUCUGAGAGGAUGAUCAGCCACACUGGGACUGAGACACGGUCCAGACUCCUACGGGAGGCAGCAGUGGGGAAUAUUGGACAAUGGGCGCAAGCCUGAUCCAGCAAUGCCGCGUGAGUGAUGAAGGCCCUAGGGUUGUAAAGCUCUUUUACCCGGGAAGAUAAUGACUGUACCGGGAGAAUAAGCCCCGGCGAACUCCGU